GACGAACGCUGGCGGCGUGCUUAACACAUGCAAGUCGAACGGAAAGGCCCUGCUUUUGUGGGGUGCUCGAGUGGCGAACGCGUGAGUAACACGUGAGUAACCUGCCCUUGACUUUGUGAUAACUUCAGGAAACUGGGGCUAAUACCGGAUAGGAUCUCCUGCUGCAUGGUGGGGGUUGGAGAGUGUCGGCGGUGGGGGAUGGACUCGCGGCUUAUCAGCUUGUUGGUGGGGUAGUGGCUUACCAAGGCUUUGAAGGGUAGCCGGCCUGAGAGGGUUACCGGCCACAUUGGGACUGAGAUACGGCCCAGACUCCUACGGGAGGCAGCAGUGGGGAAUAUUGCACAAUGGGCGGAAGCCUGAUGCAGAAACGCCGCGUGCGGGAUGACGGCCUUCGGGUUGUAAACCGCUUUCGCCUGUGACGAAGCGUGAGUGACGGUAAUGGGUAAAGAAGCACCGGCUAACUACGUG
rnacentral:rRNA from 1 species